rnacentral:rRNA from 2 species
GCCCCCGGCUCAACCGGGGAGGGUCAUUGGAAACUGGGGAACUUGAGUGCAGAAGAGGAGAGUGGAAUUCCACGUGUAGCGGUGAAAUGCGUAGAGAUGUGGAGGAACACCAGUGGCGAAGGCGACUCUCUGGUCUGUAACUGACGCUGAGGAGCGAAAGCGUGGGGAGCGAACAGGAUUAGAUACCCUGGUAGUCCACGCCGUAAACGAUGAGUGCUAAGUGUUAGGGGGUUUCCGCCCCUUAGUGCUGCAGCUAACGCAUUAAGCACUCCCCCNGGGGAGUACGGUCGCAAGACUGAAACUCAAAGGAAUUGACGGGGGCCCGCACAAGCGGUGGAGCAUGUGGUUUAAUUCGAAGCAACGCGAAGAACCUUACCNGGUCUUGACAUCC